ACGAUGACUCUCGGCAACGGAUAUCUCGGCUCUCGCAUCGAUGAAGAACGUAGCGAAAUGCGAUACCUGGUGUGAAUUGCAGAAUCCCGUGAACCAUCGAGUCCUUGAACGCAAGUUGCGCCCGAGGCCACCCGGUCGAGGGCACGCCUGCCUGGGCGUCACGC
rnacentral:rRNA from 1 species